rnacentral:rRNA from 1 species
UUGAAUUUUCGGGGUUAGUAGGUUGGUCAUGCCUCUGGUAUGUACUGGUCUCACUGAUUCCUCCUUCCUGAUGAACCGUAAUGCCAUUAAUUUGGUGUUUUCGGGGAUUUUGGACUGUUACUUUGAAAAAUUUAGAGUGUUUAAAGCAAGCUAACGCUUGAAUACAUUAGCAUGGAAUAAUGAAAUAGGACGUUCGAUCCUAUUUUGUUGGUUUCUAGGAUUGACGUAAUGAUUAAUAGGGAUAGUUGGGGGCAUUAGUAUUCAAUUGUCAGAGGUGAAAUUCUUGGAUUUAUUGAAGACUAACUACUGCGAAAGCAUUUGCCAAGGAUGUUUUCAUUAAUCAAGAACGAAAGUUAGGGGAUCGAAGACGAUCAGAUACCGUCGUAGUCUUAACCAUAAACUAUGCCGACUAGGGAUCGGAUGAUGUUAAUUUUUAAUGACUC